AUUGAACGCUGGCGGCAGGCCUAACACAUGCAAGUCGAGCGGAUGAAGGGAGCUUGCUCCUGGAUUCAGCGGCGGACGGGUGAGUAAUGCCUAGGAAUCUGCCUGGUAGUGGGGGAUAACGUCCGGAAACGGGCGCUAAUACCGCAUACGUCCUGAGGGAGAAAGUGGGGGGUCUUUGGACCUCACGCUAUCAGAUGAGCCUAGGUCGGAUUAGCUAGUUGGUGGGGUAAAGGCCUACCAAGGCGACGAUCCGUAACUGGUCUGAGAGGAUGAUCAGUCACACUGGAACUGAGACACGGUCCAGACUCCUACGGGAGGCAGCAGUGGGGAAUAUUGGACAAUGGGCGAAAGCCUGAUCCAGCCAUGCCGCGUGUGUGAAGAAGGUCUUCGGAUUGUAAAGCACUUUAAGUUGGGAGGAAGGGCAGUAAGUUAAUACCUUGCUGUUUUGACGUUACCAACAGAAAAAGCACCGGCUAACUUCGUG
rnacentral:rRNA from 1 species